rnacentral:rRNA from 1 species
ACGGAAGGCAGCAGUGAGGAAUAUUGGUCAAUGGGCGGAAGCCUGAACCAGCCAAGUCGCGUGAAGGAAGACGGUAUUAUGUAUUGUAAACUUCUUUAGACGCAGAGAAAUAAGGGGCUCGCGAGCUCUGAUGCUAGUAUGCGUAGAAUAAGGAUCGGCUAACUCCGUGCCAGCAGCCGCGGUAAUACGGAGGAUCCGAGCGUUAUCCGGAUUUAUUGGGUUUAAAGGGUGCGCAGGCGGCGCUUUAAGUCAGUGGUCAAAUCGUGAGGCUCAACCUCAUCCCGCCAUUGAUACUGGAGCGCUUGAUUGCGGUUGAGGUAGGCGGAAUUCGUCGUGUAGCGGUGAGAUGCAUAGAUAUGACGAAGAACCCCGAUUGCGUAGGCAGCUUACCAAGCCGUAAAUGACGCUCAUGCACGAAAGUGCGGGGAUCGAACAGGAUUAGAUACCCUGGUA